AUCCACAUCAUGAAGAGGUUUUCCCAUGAUAAAAUGCAUCCUGUGAUCUCCUAGCACAGCUGAAGAAUCACCAUCCCAGUUUGUUGGCUUCACAUGGCCAGUUCCUGCUCUCAGUCUCCUGGGAUGUGACAGUGUACUUCUGGCAACGCAAAGCUGGUGGCAGCACAACAAGCAAGUUCUUAGAGGGGCAGCUACCGGAGAAGUCUCCUGCACACUCUCUAAGGGACCCACUACCAAGAGGCAUGUUUGUCAGAAGGAAGCCUGCUUCACAAUCAGUUUCCCCAGGCCCAGACUGCCCAUCUGUGAUGUGAGCUGUUUGGAGGAAAAGAGUUUGGAAUUUGCCCAACCAAGCACCAGGCACAGACUGCCUCAGAGCCAGAGGUGACCCAAAUUUCCUCAUCAUUCACAGCCGAAAGGACAGCCUCAGGUAUUCAUCCCAGAUCCUCUCCCUCUCCAAGAUGGAAUGGGGAAGAAUGGCAAGUCUUGCAUGUCCUUUGGAAUUUAGAGGUAGCUGUUGGGUGUAUGGGUUUGUGCUAUCCUGCAGUUCAUAUUGACCUCUGACUAAGAAGUUCUUAUCCACUAAGUGACCAGCUCUUACCUGAUGUACAUGGCUGAUGAAAUAUGUGUCCUCUUCUCUUGACACAGGCAUUGUGUCCUGGGAGCUAAGCCAUCUCCCUUUGUACCCAUCAUCAGACAUGGCCCAUCUGUCCUGAAGCCCUCAUUCUGCCCCACCAUAGUGACUCUUCCCUGGGCACAUUUAUGGGACCAGGACCAUCAGCUACCUGUCUCCUGUGAGGCCACAGGCACUCCCGGUGCCCUUGCGAUAGCCUAUCCCCGUCCUAAAUACUCCCCCACCAGCAUACACACAUACCACCACCACCACCAGCAUUUAAAUGUGUGGGCUGCUUCCUCUGAGGUGGUUUUCUCUCAGAAAGACUGAGAAAGACAAAACUGAGUCUUCGAUUGAUUUGGUAAUGUGCCCAGGGUUGCAUAGUUAAUAAGUGGGAAAAAGCCCAGACAGAUCUGGGCAGCUGAACUUAGAGCAUGAACUCUGACCAGCACACCGACCAGUCUUGAGGUGACAUCUCAGUCCUGGUGAUCACCACGCAUUUAAACUGUCUUCAACAGUCCCGGCUCCAACUCUUCAGUGCCUUUGGUCCAUGAAGAUGCUCUAACUUGUCCAACUGUGUGUCCCAUUUUCUUCCAGUUCUGUAGACCAGAAGUUGAAAAUGAGUCUCCCUGGGAUAAAAUCAAGGUAUGGCAGGGCUGCGUUCCUUCUGAGGGCUCUAGGGGAGAAUGUGUUUCCUCACCUUUUCCAGCUUUAGGGGCCUACCCACAUUCCUUAGCUCAUGACUGUCUUCCAUCUCGAAAGACAAGCAGUUACAACCUUCCAGACUUGCUUCCCUUGUAGCAUCUCUCUCUCUCUCUCCAUUUUCUUUUUCGAGGCAAAGAAAGAUGAAUUCAAGUAAUCACAGCCACCUCUUGGCUCAGCUUCUCCCUCCAUCCUCAACAUACCUGGGCCUUUCAUAUCAAAGGAAUAUGGAAAAGAGAAGGAUUUGUGAAGGCUCCCCAGGCUCUAGAACCUUAAAACCCUUCACCUGUUUUCUGUCAGGUGGGAGUCUCCUCACACUACUUCACUACUUGUUUACAUGAUAGCUUCUAGCAAAGCUUUCCUCCCGUACAAUGUAAAGAUGAAUUGGGUGAACUUUGAAAAUCCCUUUUCUCUCUGGAGAAGAUUUUGUUUUCAAAACUAAUGUUGCCCAUUCCAAGUUUCACAGGUGAGUUGGCUUCACUGGGGAGGCAGGAACUCAAUAUCUUCUCUCGAGGCGGGAGGCUACAAUAAAUACCACAGUUGUCUGCAGCUGGUGAGAAGAGAAGAAAGGCUCAGGGGGAUCCUCAUUCUCCAACCUGUCUCCAUUCCUUGCCCAACAGGGCAGCUUGCUGUCCCCUCCCCAAUGGGGACCACUCCUGGAUUGCAGCCUGCUCACCUCUCCAUGUCUAUCCUUUCAUAUUCUACCUUCCCCAUCACCCCUCGUUCUGUCUUCUACCUCCAGAAGAUCAGUUAGUCUAGGACUAUAGCUUAUUUACAUGCAAUAUCAUGAGACUUUGGACUGCCAAUUUAUUCCCUUCUGUAUGGCUUCUGUUCACUGCUAGAAAAGGGGAAGAGAGAACUACCUUUCCUACCAACCAGAAACUUUGGAGGGUUCAGUGAAGGAUGCACCUAGGUCUUCCUCAAUAGCUCCUCUGUAUUAAGGCAAGGAGAGCACUGGACCUCCACGGCAGACUGCAGACCAGAGCCUCCUCCGUGACAGAAGAGGGAAAGAAGAGGAAAUCUCCCAUUUCAGGAAUCUGUUGCAAGACCUACGUUAUCAGAGGGAGAGAAGAAAUAGUGAAAAAAAGAAAAAGAGAGACUGCUAAGAUUUAUGACCCAUGUUUUUUCAACAUUGUUUAAGUAGUCCUCAAACCUUUUCACUUACAGCAUAGGAUGAUGGAGGCUGUGUGUGUGUGUGUGUGUGUGUGUGUGUGUGUGUAUUUGAGUGAUGACAAAAACAUGUCAUUUCUUUGAAAUCUCAUGGUUUGGUUUUUAACAAGAGAUACAAACUUCCAGUUACAAAAUAAAUAAGUCACGGGUACCUGUGUGGACACAAGUGCGUGGUGUUUGGAAUAAAGGGGAACUACCUUUGGGUGUACGAUUAGUGUAUGGCAGGGUUAGUGAAUUGUAAGUUAUUAAUUAGUGUAUUAUAUAUAGCCAUCAUUGUCCCCACCCCUUCCUCCCCUUCCAAGUUUAAGGUGGUUAGGUAUAUGGAAGCACCUAGUGUAGCUAAGGUCUGCUUAUUUUAUAUCUGAAAAAGUUAAAUGAGGCAUAUUCAAGAUUUGAUUCUGGAUGACCUUUUCAUUUUCCACAAUGACAUUGAAAAGUCUAUCCAAUAAA